rnacentral:rRNA from 1 species
AAUAGAUACCCCGGUAGUCCACGCCGUAAACGGUGGGCACUAGGUGUGGGCAACAUUCCACGUUGUCCGUGCCGCAGCUAACGCAUUAAGUGCCCCGCCUGGGGAGUACGGCCGCAAGGCUAAAACUCAAAGGAAUUGACGGGGGGCCCGCACAAGCGGCGGAGCAUGUGGCUUAAUUCGACGCAACGCGAAGAACCUUACCAAGGCUUGACAUACACCGGAAAGCAUCAGAGAUGGUGCCCCCCUUGUGGUCGGUGUACAGGUGGUGCAUGGCUGUCGUCAGCUCGUGUCGUGAGAUGUUGGGUUAAGUCCCGCAACGAGCGCAACCCUUGUCCCGUGUUGCCAGCAACUCUUCGGAGGUUGGGGACUCACGGGAGACCGCCGGGGUCAACUCGGAGGAAGGUGGGGACGACGUCAAGUCAUCAUGCCCCUUAUGUCUUGGGCUGCACACGUGCUACAAUGGCCGGUACAAUGAGCUGCGAUACCGCAAGGUGGAGCGAAUCUCAAAAAGCCGGUCUCAGUUCGGAUUGGGGUCUGCAAC